rnacentral:rRNA from 1 species
GACGAACGCUGGCGGCGUGCUUAACACAUGCAAGUCGAACGGAAACGCCCUGCUUUUUUACUGUUCUCGAGUGUCGAACGGGUGAGUAACACGUGAGUAACCUGCUCUUGACUUUGGUAUAACUUCAGGAAACUGGGGCUAAUACCGUAUAGCAGCUCCUGCUGCAUUGUGGGGGUUGGAACGUUUCGGCGGUUGGGGAUGGACUCGCGGCUUAUGAGCUUGUUGGUGGGGUAGUGGCUUACCCACGCUUUGACGGGUAGCCGGACUGAGAGGGUGACAGGGUACAUGGGGGCUGAGAUACGGCCAAGACGGAUACGGGAGGAAGGAGUGGGGAAUAUUGCAAAAUGGGCGGAAGGCUGAUGCAGGAACGCCGCGUGGGGGAUGACGGCCUUCGGGUUGGAAACCGCUUUAGUCAGUGACGAAGCGUGAGUGACGGUAACGGGUAAAGAAGAACAGGCGAACUACGU